GCGUGAGGAACCUGCCUUGGAGAGGGGAAUAACACUCCGAAAGGAGUGCUAAUACCGCAUGAUGCAGUUGGGUCGCAUGGCUCUGACUGCCAAAGAUUUAUCGCUCUGAGAUGGCCUCGCGUCUGAUUAGCUAGUAGGCGGGGUAACGGCCCACCUAGGCGACGAUCAGUAGCCGGACUGAGAGGUUGACCGGCCACAUUGGGACUGAGACACGGCCCAGACUCCUACGGGAGGCAGCAUG
rnacentral:rRNA from 1 species